AAGCAGACUAUUCUUGGCUGUUUUGUUUUGUUUUUUUCAAUUCGCUCUCAUUCAAGCUUUGUGAAUAAUAGAAGUUUGGAUUAUUCAUCCUCAGCUUUGAAAUACCUGAUUGAUUUUGACAUCACAAGAACGGUUACUGAUACAAGUGUUAGUCAAAAUCCAUUAUUUUUACGAGUAAGAAUGGUCAAGUGGAUUUUCCUAGAUGAUGGUGUUACAGCCAUCAAUGAUGUGACAGGGGAAGUGUACAAGUUCGAGCCAUCAGUAAAUUACAAUGGACAAGGGCAGGCUCCACAAAAUGCAACGGAUGAGUCUGCCAACUUGAAAGCAAACCAGAAGAAUCCUUUUAUUAUAAAUACUGAGAAGUCUGUCACUUCAGAUCCUGCC